AUACGUAGGGAGCGAGCGUUGUCCGGAAUUACUGGGCGUAAAGGGCGCGUAGGCGGCGCUUCAAGUCGUCUGUCAAAUGGAAGGGCUUAACCCUUUUUCGCAGACGAAACUGGAGAGCUUGAGAAGCAGAGAGGCAAACAGAAUUCCUGGUGUAGCGGUGAAAUGCGUAGAUAUCAGGAAGAAUACCAGUGGCGAAGGCGGUUUGCUGGCUGCAUACUGACGCUUAAGCGCGAAAGCCAGGGGAGCGAACGGGAUUAGAUACCCCGGUAGUCCUGGCAGUAAACGAUGUAUGCUGGGUGUGAGACUAGCGAUAGUUUCGUGCCGAAGUUAACGCGAUAAGCAUACCGCCUGGGGAGUACGGUCGCAAGAUUGAAACUCAAAUGAAUUGACGGGG
rnacentral:rRNA from 1 species